GCAGGUUUACCAAUCUGGUGAAUGGACCGUUCUCAUAAAACGGCGAAGGUGGGUUCAAUUCCCACAACCUGCA
rnacentral:tRNA from 1 species